rnacentral:rRNA from 1 species
UACGUAGGGGACGAGCGUUGUCCGGAAUUAUUGGGCGUAAAGGGCUCGUAGGCGGUUUGUCGCGUCGGGAGUGAAAUCCACUGGCUUAACUGGUGGCUUGCUUUCGAUACGGGCAGACUGGAGGUAUGCAGGGGAGAACGGAAUUCCUGGUGUAGCGGUGAAAUGCGCAGAUAUCAGGAGGAACACCAGUGGCGAAGGCGGCUCACUGGACCGGUACUGACGCUGAUGCGCGAAAGCGUGGGGAGCAAACAGG